rnacentral:rRNA from 1 species
GCCCAAGGUAAGGAAUAACGUACGAGAAAUCGGCGCUAAUACCUCAUAAUGCAGCGGAUCCGCAUGGAUAUGUUGUUAAGGUUUACCGCCUUGGGAUAGGCUUGCGUCUGAUUAGCUAGUUGGUGUGGUAAUGGCACACCAAGGCUACGAUCAGUAACUGGUCUGAGAGGAUGAUCAGUCACACUGGAACUGAGACACGGUCCAGACUCCUACGGGAGGCAGCAGUGAGGAAUAUUGGGCAAUGCACGAAAGUGUGACCCAGCAACGCCGCGUGGAGGAUGAAGGUAUUCUAUAUCGUAAACUCCUGUGAGAGCAGACGAAAGACAGAUUAUUAAUUUGGAUGACUGUAUGCUCAGAGGAAGCCCCGGCUAACUACGUG